UACGUAGGGUGCGAGCGUUGUCCGGAAUUAUUGGGCGUAAAGGGCUCGUAGGCGGUUUGUCGCGUCGGGAGUGAAAACCCAGGGCUUAACUCUGGGCUUGCUUUCGAUACGGGCAGACUAGAGGUAUGCAGGGGAGAACGGAAUUCCUGGUGUAGCGGUGAAAUGCGCAGAUAUCAGGAGGAACACCGGUGGCGAAGGCGGUUCUCUGGGCAUUACCUGACGCUGAGGAGCGAAAGUGUGGGGAGCAAACAGG
rnacentral:rRNA from 1 species